GUCGACGUGGCCGAGCGGUCCAAGGCGCCAGCUUCAGGUGCUGGUCUUCUUCGGAAGGCGCGAGUUCGAACCUCGCCGUCGACA